GAUGAACGCUAGCUACAGGCUUAACACAUGCAAGUCGAGGGGCAGCAUGGUCUUAGCUUGCUAAGGCCGAUGGCGACCGGCGCACGGGUGAGUAACACGUAUCCAACCUGCCGUCUACUCUUGGACAGCCUUCUGAAAGGAAGAUUAAUACAAGAUGGCAUCAUGAGUCCACAUGUUCACAUGAUUAAAGGUAUUCCGGUAGACGAUGGGGAUGCGUUCCAUUAGAUAGUAGGCGGGGUAACGGCCCACCUAGUCUUCGAUGGAUAGGGGUUCUGAGAGGAAGGUCCCCCACAUUGGAACUGAGACACGGUCCAAACUCCUACGGGAGGCAGCAGUGAGGAAUAUUGGUCAAUGGGCGAGAGCCUGAACCAGCCAAGUAGCGUGAAGGAUGACUGCCCUAUGGGAUGUAAACUUCUUUUAUAAAGGAAUAAAGUCGGGUAUGGAUACCCGU
rnacentral:rRNA from 1 species